rnacentral:rRNA from 1 species
GAUACGACCGUACCGCAAACCGACACUGGUGCGCGAGAUGAGUAUUCUAAGGCGCUUGAGAGAACUCAGGAGAAGGAACUCGGCAAAUUGACACCGUAACUUCGGAAGAAGGUGUGCCCUAUUAGUGUGUAGUGAACAACGAAGCAUGAAUGGGUUGCAAAAAAUCGGUGGCUGCGACUGUUUAUUAAAAACACAGCACUCUGCAAACACGAAAGUGGACGUAUAGGGUGUGACGCCUGCCCGGUGCUGGAAGAUUAAAUGAUGGGGUGCAAGCUCUUGAUUGAAGUCCCAGUAAACGGCGGCCGUAACAAUAACGGUCCUAAGGUAGCGAAAUUCCUUGUCGGGUAAGUUCCGACCUGCACGAAUGGCGUAACGAUGGCCACACUGUCUCCUCCUGAGACUCAGCGAAGUUGAAAUGUUUGUGAUGAUGCAAUCUCCCCGCGGAAAGACGGAAAGACCCCAUGAACCUUUACUGUAGCUUUGUAUUGGACUUUGAACAGAUCUGUGUAGGAUAGGUGGGAGGCUUUGAAGCAGGGUCGCUAGAUCUUGUGGAGCCAACGUUGAAAUACCACCCUGGUGUGUUUGAGGUUCUAACCUAGGUCCAUUAUCUGGAUCGGGGACAGUGCAUGGUAGGCAGUUUGACUGGGGCGGUCUCCUCCCAAAGCGUAACGGAGGAGUUCGAAGGUACGCUAGUUACGGUCGGACAUCGUGACGAUAGUGCAAUGGCAUAAGCGUGCUUAACUGCGAGACUGACAAGUCGAGCAGAUGCGAAAGCAGGACAUAGUGAUCCGGUGGUUCUGUAUGGAAGGGCCAUCGCUCAACGGAUAAAAGGUACUCUGGGGAUAACAGGCUGGUACCGCCCAAGAGUUCAUAUCGACGGCGGUGUUUGGCACCUCGAUGUCGGCUCAUCUCAUCCUGGGGCUGUAGCCGGUCCCAAGGGUAUGGCUGUUCGCCAUUUAAAGAGGUACGUGAGCUGGGUUUAAAACGUCGUGAGACAGUUUGGUCCCUAUCUUCUGUGGGCGCUGCAGAUUUGAGGAAGCCUGCUCCUAGUACGAGAGGACCGGAGUGGACACACCUCUGGUGUAUCGGUUGUCACGCCAGUGGCAUUGCCGAGUAGCUAAGUGUGGAAGAGAUAACCGCUGAAAGCAUCUAAGCGGGAAACUCGUUUCAAGAUGAGAUCUGCCGGGGCCUUGAGCCCCCUAAAGAGUCGUUCAAGACCAGGACGUUGAUAGGUCAGGUGUGGAAGCUA